rnacentral:lncRNA from 10 species
AGAGAUAGAAGUCUACCUCUGUUGCUCAAGCUGGUCUUGAACUCCUGGCCCCAAGUGAUCCUCCUGCCUCAGCCUCCCAACUUGCUGGAUUACAGGCAUGAGCUGCUGCACCUGCCCAGGUGGGACUACAGGCACAUGCCACUGUGUCCGGAGUUGGUGGGUUCUUGGUCUGACUGACUUGAAGAACGAAGCCGCGGACCCUCAUGCGUUAUGAACAGAACUUUAUUUUUUCCAACCUAAACCAAUCAUCCUGCAUUGGGAUGGAUGGAUUGAGGGAAAGAUCAUGGUACCAGAUCUGCAGGCAGCUGGGGACAGAAGUCUUCACUUGCAUGGGUGGUGAGAGCAGAACUGAGAAGGUGGGGUCAACUUUAAAGAUGGGCAUUUCCAAGGACACGGAGUAUUGAGCAUUGAGUCCACUGGGAGGACACCAAACGCCAGGCUCCAGAGAUCCAAAUUUGUAGAAUCGCAUGAAUCCCAAGAAAUCACAAGAGAUCUUAGAAGAAAAGGAUCCUUCAAGUGUGGUGAGUGCAGUAAGGGAUCUAGUAGGAAGUCACAUCUUGCUGUUUGCAGAGUAAAGACGUGUGAAGAAGCCCUGAAGAACAGCCACAAGUUCUCCCACAGCCGUGCACUGCUCCAGGGAAAACCCACACCUGCAGUGAGCGCAGGAACAUCACUGUGUGACGACGUGGCCGUCCGCUGCAGAGAAGGCCCAGGAGUGUGUGGAAAGCCUCCACAGAUGUAGCCCACAUGGAAGAGCCUAGCAGAUGAUGAGGCCCUUUCCUCCCACCACAGAGCACGUGUGAGAAUGGAGCGCAGGCACCUUCUCUCAGAAGGCCAUUGUUGUUGAUCAGGCGGUCCACUCUGGAGACUUUGGAAGCUGUCUAGGAUGUAAAGAAUGCAGGAAUGAUUUCAGAGAGGGAUCACACCUCACUGCACGCCAGAGAGUUCAGGCUCCAAUGAGCCAUAUAUGUGCAGGAGGUGUGGAAGAGCUUUUGUGUGUGUUAUACUGCAGAACUGGAGGGACGCCAUCAGUGUACCUGAGUGGCAAAGCCUUUAGGGAGAGCUCCCAAGUCCUGGCUCAUCAGUGCAUUCACACAAGGGGAAAAGCCUUUUACAGGUGGGGAGGCCUUCAGGGAUCAGCCUCACGUCAUUGUCAGAGUUUUCAUUUUGGGAAGAAGCCUUUACAUUUUUAUUUUUUGAGACAGUGUAACUCUGUCGACCAGGCUGGAGUGCAGUUGUGCAAUCACAGCUCACUGCAGUCUUGACUUCCUGGGCUCAAGUCAUCCUCCCACCUCAGCCUACUGAGUAGCUGGGACUACAGGUACACACCACCAUGCCCAGCUAAGGAAGGAGCCUUAAGAAUGCCAGAGGUCAACCAGGCACAGUGGCACACGCCUGCAAUCCCAGCACUUUGAGAGGCCAAGGCGGACGGAUCACCUGAGGUCAGGAGUUUGAGACUAGCCUGACCAACAUGGAGAAACCUCGUCUCUACCAAAAAGACGAAAUUAGCCAGGCGUGGUGGCGCAUUCCUGUAAUCCCAGCUACUUGGGAGGCUGAGGCAGGAGAAUCACUUGACCCCGGAAGGCAGAGGUUGCGGUGAGCCGAGAUCGUGCCAUUGCACUCCAGUCUGGGUGACAGAGCAAGACUCUGUCUCCAAAAAAAAAAAAAAAAAAAAAAAAAAGGCCAGGUGCCGCGGCUCACGCCUGUAAUCCCAACACUUUGGGAGGCCGAGGUGGGUGGAUCACUUGAGGUCAGGAGUUCAAGACCAGCCUGGCUAACAUGGUGAAACCCCGUCUCUACUAAAAUACAAAAAAAUUAGCUGGGCUUGGUGUCACACGCCUGUAAUCCCAGCUACUCAGGAGGCUGAGGCAGGAGAAUUGCUUGAACCUGGGAGGUGGAGGUUGCAGUGAACUGUCAUCAUGCCACUGCACUCCAGCCUGGGUGACAGAGCGAGACUGCGUCUCAAAAAAUAAAUAAAUAAAUAAGAAAGAAAGAAUGCCAGAGGUGUGGACAAGUGUUCAGACAUAACUAGAAUCUCAUGGCCCAUCAGAGUCCACAUAAGAGAGAAGCCUGGGAAUGCCAUCAGUGUGGCUGGACAAGGAAUACCAGCCUUAUAAAUCAUCAGACUCCACUCUGGGGAGAGACAUUGACUGGGAGGGAGGAGGGAAGAAAGGCUGUGGAUAAUCAUGGGGACCUUCAUUAACAUAGUAGAAUUCACACAGUUUCAAAUCCCAUGAGUGUAAUGAGUGGGAAAGCAGAAAAAAGAUCACACCUUACUCUACCCUAGAAUUCAUGUAGGAGAGAGAUGGUACAAACAAACCACAGAGAGAAAAGCCUUCACUUGUAGCUAAUUCAUUCCAGAGAAGGGCUUGGCAAGCUGUUUUUGUAAAGGACCAGAGAGUAAAUCUGUUUAGGCUUUGGGGGCCGUGUGGUCUCUGCUGUAACUGCUUAGCUGUACUGGGAGCACAAAGAUGGCCACAGAUAGCAUGUGUGCAAAUGGGCAUGGUUGAGUUCCGGUAAAGCUUAGCUUUCUUCUUGUUUUUUUCUUUCUUUCUUUCUUUUCUUUUCUUUUCUUUUUUUU